ACCGCGCGGCCCAUUGCCGCAACAGGACACGAUCCCAGUGGAGUUUACCAUCUCCUCAACAUUAUCUCUGACGAUGCAAGAGUAAAACAAAAAUGGCGUAAAACGGAGGAGACCGUGGUGCUUGCAAAAAAUUCCACGGGACCCGUACAACGACCGGCGGACGACACCCGGGACAUUAGCAUUUACUGAUGAUUUGUGGCGGCUCGGAUGUCUUUCAUCUCUCUCCAGCUUCUAGACAAGAGCUUCUCUGACAGUGCAACAUCUGAACAUGUACAUCAUUUGACAAAGAUGCAAACUAAUGGUGUGGGGGAACUGUCCUGUGGACCACAGGCCUCCCCAUGCCAGCAGACUGCCAGGUGUGGGGGAACUGUCCUGUGGACCACAGGCCUCCCAUGUGAGACAAGUCUGGAUUUAGGCCACCAUCACCCAACUGUCAAGCUCCACAGCUGUUGAAACCAGAGAUGGAUCAAAGUCUGUCAACAUCAAUGGAUCAAGAUAUCAACCUCUCUUCACUAAAGAGAGGACCGCUCCGGGGAUGUGUGGGUUACAGGAGAGACUGGCUACCACAGAUACAGCCCCAGGCCGGAUCUGUCUGUCUCCUCACCUAGCUGUCUGUCUCUCUCCUCACCUAGCUGUCUGUCUCUCUCCUCACCUAGCUGUCUCUCUCCUCACCUAGCUGUCU